UUCCAAACUGGACCCUUGGUACCUGGCAAAACUGCAGUGUUUUUCUUCUUGCAUCUAUCAUUCCUUCUGCUAUCUCUUUUGCCAGAUCCCUUGCUGAGGCCCUGGUGGCCUCACACCUGCAAGCGUUACUCCAUUUCAUACACACGUCUGAGGUCCAGGGCAGAGGACCCGGGUGGGCUGGAGACUGCAACCUUCACCACAUUCCUGCCUGCUGACCUCACCACACUGCCCUCAAAGACGCUCUGUUCUCUCCAGAUUAAAUGCACGUCGGCUGUGGCCUUCUGCCCUGGCUGGUGCCAGCCAGUCUGUCACCUCAUCGCUGUGCCAGGCAGCAUCCUGACACUUCCUCUCUUGUCCCUCUCUCUCCCAUCUUUCAGUUUUUAUAUAUCUCUCCCCACAGGGUGUGGACUAUAGUUUCCCAAAACACACUCCCCUCUGGAAGUCAUGGAAGGAAUCCAAGCUGGAUGCUGUGAACCGUUUGUGUCCAGGACAUCCUGAAAAAAUAGCUGGCAGGACCCUUGAUACCAAGUCAGGAAGGAAAGAGGAAGGAGGUUUGGAAGGGGAGCCACCAACCCCAGGUACCUUCGAGAGGAACUGCCACGUGGUGAGCAUCUUUUUCACCCCAUUACCGACCCAGGGGCGAUGCCAUCCAGAGCCAAGCCAGGAGGACUCAGCUCUCCGUGGUUGUUCAAGUGACUUUCUCCACUGUCUGAGGAGCGCCCGGUGUCCUGGGUGCAAUAAUGGGGAGUCUGGCGCCCAUAGAAAGCUUCCUGGAUCUGGAUGACCUCCCCCGAGCCACAGUGCAUGGUGGCGUUGAGGCCCUCGCAGGCCAGACUCUGGCCGACACCUGUGGCAAAGGGAUUUGCCUGUUCUGGAUAUUUCACAUAAACGGAAUCAUACACUGUGGCCUUUUGGAACAGGCUUCUUUCACUUCAGCAUAGUCUUCAAGGUCAUCUAUCUUAUAGCAGGUAAUAAUGUUUCAUUUCUUUUGGGGGAGGCAUGCAAUAAAAGUUUAUACAGUAAAUGUUCAAUGAAGAGUUUUUCAGAACGAAUGUAUCCCCACCUUAGCUCUUUGUUUGCCUUCCUAAGUAGU